AUUGAACGCUGGCGGCAUGCUUUACACAUGCAAGUCGAACGGUAACAGGUCUUCGGAUGCUGACGAGUGGCGAACGGGUGAGUAAUACAUCGGAACGUGCCUAGUAGUGGGGGAUAACUACUCGAAAGAGUGGCUAAUACCGCAUGAGAUCUACGGAUGAAAGCAGGGGAUCGCAAGACCUUGUGCUACUAGAGCGGCCGAUGGCAGAUUAGGUAGUUGGUGGGAUAAAAGCUUACCAAGCCGACGAUCUGUAGCUGGUCUGAGAGGACGAUCAGCCACACUGGGACUGAGACACGGCCCAGACGCCUACGGGAGGCAGCAGUGGGGAAUUUUGGACAAUGGGCGCAAGCCUGAUCCAGCAAUGCCGCGUGCAGGAUGAAGGCCUUCGGGUUGUAAACUGCUUUUGUACGGAACGAAAAGCCCUGGGUUAAUACCCUGGGGUCAUGACGGUACCGUAAGAAUAAGCACCGGCUAACUACGUGCCAGCAGCCGCCGUAA
rnacentral:rRNA from 1 species